rnacentral:rRNA from 1 species
GACGAACGCUGGCGGCGUGCUUAACACAUGCAAGUCGAACGGAAAGGCCCUGCUUUUGUGGGGUGCUCGAGUGGCGAACGGGUGAGUAACACGUGAGUAACCUGCCCUUGACUUUGGGAUAACUCCAGGAAACUGGGGCUAAUACCGGAUAGGAGCUCCUGCUGCAUGGUGGGGGUUGGAAAGUUUCGGCGGUUGGGGAUGGACUCGCGGCUUAUCAGCUUGUUGGUGGGGUAGUGGCUUACCAAGGCUUUGACGGGUAGCCGGCCUGAGAGGGUGACCGGCGACAAUGGGACUGAGAGACGGCCCAGACUGCUACGGGAGGCAGCAGUGGGGAAUAUUGCACAAUGGGCGGAAGCCUGAUGCAGCAACGCCGCGUGCGGGAUGACGGCCUUCGGGGUGUAAACCGCUGUCGCCGGAGACGAAGCGUGAGUGACGGUAAUGGGUAAAGAAGCACCGGCUAACUACGUG